rnacentral:rRNA from 1 species
UCUGGUGAUCAUAGAUGAGGGGAAACACACGUUUCCAUCCCGAACACGCUCGUUAAGCCCUCAAUCGCUGAUGGUAGUGCAGCCCUGCUGCUGUGUGAGAGUAAGUUGUUGCCAGUC